UUUUGACCUCGGAUCAGGUAGGGAUACCCGCUGAACUUAAGCAUAUCAAUAAG
rnacentral:rRNA from 3 species